rnacentral:rRNA from 1 species
UACGUAGGGUGCAAGCGUUGUCCGGAAUUAUUGGGCGUAAAAGGUUGGUAGGGGGUUGGUCGCUUCUGUGGUGAAAACCCGAGGCUCAACCUCGGGCCUGCAGUGGGUACGGGCAGACUAGAGUGCGGUAGGGGAGAUUGGAAUUCCUGGUGUAGCGGUGGAAUGCGCAGAUAUCAGGAGGAACACCAAUGGCGAAGGCAGAUCUCUGGGCCGUAACUGACGCUGAGGAGCGAAAGCAUGGGGAGCGAACAGG